GUUAAUGUAGCUUAAACACUCAUAAAGCAAGACACUGAAAA
rnacentral:tRNA from 1 species